CACCUGAAAAGAAAACAGUAUACAGAGAUCAUUAGUAUCGUAACAAUAACAACAAUUAAAGCUAACAUGAUUAGAGCACUCAUUUAUGUUCACAACUUUAAGAGGUAGCUGAUUUCUAGGUUGCAGAUGGAACAAAUGAAGCCUAAGGAAGUUGAGUAACUUGCCUCACAGAUGGUUCAGAGCAGAGCUGGAUUUGAUCCCAGGCAGUCUGGCUCCAGAGUUCAUCCUCUUAAUGGAAACCUCAGGGACCUACAUGUGGAUUCAGUUUAGAUGCUUCACAAUAAUAUCUCACUACUAAUAUUUGACCAUGAGCCAUUCUUAUGAAAGCUAUUUACAAGAACAGGAUUUCCCCAUGUGGUGGUAACUAUGAUCUUCAUUUAAUCCUUGGCAUGCACGCAGCUUAAAGAUGUCUUUAUGAAACUAUUUAGAUCUUUUGGAUCAAUGGACGCCUAAAAAUUCAAUGUGAAAUGUAUCUAGGGUGGGUGCCAAAAAUAUUCUUUACUUAUUCUUUAAGUAAAGAAUAUUUUUAAAAUGCAAAUAAUUUCUACUUCCUGCCCUCCUCCUCCACCUUGUCACACACGCGAAUAUUUGUUUUGAUACUGGGUUUUCUUUUUUUUUUUUCUGCUGUACACGGGCCUCUCACUGUUGUGGCCUCUCCCGUUGCGGAGCACAGGCUCCG